rnacentral:rRNA from 1 species
AUUGAACGCUGGCGGCAUGCCUUACACAUGCAAGUCGAACGGUAACAGGUCUUCGGAUGCUGACGAGUGGCGAACGGGUGAGUAAUACAUCGGAACGUGCCCGAUCGUGGGGGAUAACGAGGCGAAAGCUUUGCUAAUACCGCAUACGAUCUACGGAUGACAGCGGGGGAUCUUCGGACCUCGCGCGGACGGAGCGGCCGAUGGCAGAUUAGGUAGUUGGUGGGAUAAAAGCUUACCAAGCCGACGAUCUGUAGCUGGUCUGAGAGGAUGAUCAGCCACACUGGGACUGAGACACGGCCCAGACUCCUACGGGAGGCAGAAGUGGGGAAUUUUGGACAAUGGGCGAAAGCCUGAUCCAGCCAUGCCGCGUGCAGGAUGAAGGCCUUCGGGUUGUAAACUGCUUUUGUACGGAACGAAAAGCCUCUUUCUAAUAAAGAGGGGUCAUGACGGUACCGUAAGAAUAAGCACCGGCUAACUACGUG